rnacentral:miRNA from 1 species
UUACACUUGCCCUUUUUUCCCCAG